AACAAAGGGAAAAAAUUAUAAAGUCAAGAGCAAAAAAUGGAUAAAUUAGAAAACAUAAAACAACACAUUUGGUAGACAAAUCCAAGAGCUGGUUCGCUGAAGAAAAUAGACAAUUUGUGUACAAAUGUUACCAAGAAAACAAGAGGAGAGUCAACAUACAUUUGUUGUUAAACACAUUAUUCACAGUAGCAAAAGGUGGAGACGACUCAGGUGUCCUUUGAUGGAUGCAUGGAUAAACUCAAUGUGGUGGAUUCGUAUACAGAGGAAUAUUAUUCAGCCUUCAAAAGAAGGGAAUUCAGACACAUGCUACAAUGUGGAUGGACAUUGAAGACAUUACGCUAAGUGAAAGAAGCCAGACAUCAAAAGGACAAAUAUUUUGUGAUUCCACUUAUACGAGGUAUAUGAGUAAUCAAAUUCACGGAGACAGAGAGUAGGAAGGUGGUUGUCAGGGGCUAGGGGCAGUGGGGAUGGCAGUUAUUGUUUAAUGGGUACAGAGUUUCAAUUUAGAAACAUGGAAAGUUCUGGAGGUGGAUGGUGAUGAUGGUUGCACAACAGUGUCAAUGUACAUAAUGCCAUUCAACUGUGCACUUAGAAAUGGCUAAAAAGGUAAAUUUUAUAUUAUGUAGUUUAUGUAUUAUGUAUUUUAGAACAAUUUUUUAAAAGGCUUUUAAAAACGUCCUCUAUUGCAAAUUGUCUGUUCUUGUUCCAUGUGAAUGAAUUCUGAAUAAAAUAUGAACUAUUUUUCUUUCAUAUUUACUUAGAAUAUAUCUCUGAAUUUGUAAUUUAUUUCCUUUGUUGUUUGGAAAAUGCGGUUUUUUUGGACUUAAACAUUUAUCAUAAUUAUGUAAUUGUUUAAAAUGUUCCUGUGGGAUUUCUCCCACAACGUUUAAGCUUCUGAAGUGGCCUACCCCUCUCCGUGUUUUAAUUUUUUUAAGCCUUUUACAUGGUUUUAAAUUUUUAAAUGUUUACUUUUUGUAGCAACAGGAUCUCACUACAUUACCCAGGCUGGUCUCAAACUCCUGGACCUCAGACUCCCAAAGUGCUGGGAUUACAGGCAUGAGCCACUGCACCCGGCCUCGAUUUACUUUUUUAACAUUGAAUUCCUUAAUGCAUCUAUUGUCA
rnacentral:lncRNA from 10 species